AUUGAACGCUGGCGGCAGGCUUAACACAUGCAAGUCGAGCGGGGUGAUGGUGCUUGCACUAUCACUUAGCGGCGGACGGGUGAGUAAUGCUUAGGAAUCUGCCUAUUAGUGGGGGACAACAUCUCGAAAGGGAUGCUAAUACCGCAUACGUCCUACGGGAGAAAGCAGGGGAUCACUUGUGACCUUGCGCUAAUAGAUGAGCCUAAGUCGGAUUAGCUAGUUGGUGGGGUAAAGGCCUACCAAGGCGACGAUCUGUAGCGGGUCUGAGAGGAUGAUCCGCCACACUGGGACUGAGACACGGCCCAGACUCCUACGGGAGGCAGCAGUGGGGAAUAUUGGACAAUGGGGGGAACCCUGAUCCGGCCAUGCCGCGUGCGUGAAGAAGGCCUUAUGGUUGUAAAGCACUUUAAGCGAGGAGGAGGCUCUUUUGGUUAAUACCCAAGAUGAGUGGACGUUACUCGCAGAAUAAGCACCGGCUAACUCUGUGCCAGCAGCCGCGGUAA
rnacentral:rRNA from 1 species